rnacentral:rRNA from 1 species
UACGGAGGGUGCAAGCGUUAAUCGGAUUUACUGGGCGUAAAGAGCACGCAGGCGGUUAUGUAAGUUGGAUGUGAAAGCCCUGGGCUUAACCUAGGAACUGCAUCCAAAACUACAUGGCUAGAGUACGAUAGAGGAGAGUAGAAUUUCCGGUGUAGCGGUGAAAUGCGUAGAGAUCGGAAGGAAUACCAGUGGCGAAGGCGACUCUCUGGAUUGAUACUGACGCUCAGGUGCGAAAGCGUGGGGAGCAAACAGG